UACUGAUGCUCUUUGGAAAUAGAGCCUAGUAUAGGGAGCUACACUGGGAGGCUUGAAGGAGAUAUUGAGAGCCUUCCCUUCCCCUUCAUUUCCUAGCAGGGAUGAAGUAGGCAGCUCUUCCAUCAUGAGUCCCCAACGGGAUGUACUUGUGUUACAUUGGGCCUCCGUGACGGCCAAAAUACCAAGGGUCGAACCCACUAUAGCCAUGAGCCAAAAGCAACCUUUCUUCCUUAAAAUUGACUCGUCACAGGUUGCCCUCACAGAAAGCUGCCAACCAUAUCUUCUCUUCCCUAUGAAAUCUGGUGCUUCUGCUACGGUCCCGCACCAUCCUAAGGCCCACCAGCUGGACGCUUAAAAAGAAAGCCAAUCUCACAGAAGGCAAAGAGAAAGUUGAAGAGAAGCCUGGUGACCUCAUUUGAACCCGAAGCCAGCUGCCUCGAGCCUCUCAUUUAGUUGAUCCAAUAUGUGCCCUUCUCCACUUAAACUGGGGUUUCCCGUCUCGUCACAAAGGGCUCUACGUGAAACCCUGCCCUCUAGCAACAGCAGGCAAUGUAAGAAACAGAGUCUUCUUAUGAUUAAGACAUAGAGAUGGAACCAGCUUGAUUUAAUACCGAAAUGGGUCUGACAUGAACCACGGCCAAGUCAACAGAGACAGGCAACCAACACGUGACACUUGCCUGCAAGCUUUUCUGAGACACGGAUGGCUGAGAGCCAGCUCUAAAUAUUUCACGUCUCUGUCUGAGUUGAUCAGGUUUCCCAAAGCAGGAAAAGUUCACAUGAUUCUUAAACCGUUGUCACCAUCCUCAUUCUGGAAGGAUACCCUGGGCAAGCUUUUCGUGUUUCUCAAAGAGUCGUUCCUGGUGCAAGAGAACCCUCAGGGCAUUUGUUCAAAACUCAGAUUUUGGCACAGUUCUAAGAAGAUGCUAGCCUAAUGAACUACCCAAAUAAUUCUGAACAGCAGCCAAGAUAGGGAGCAUCCGUCAGGGUGAGAACUGCUCGGCCCCCAUCUUCCUCUUUCUACCAGACAGACUAGGCUUCCCUGUGUAUGAUCUACUGCUGGAGAAAUGCUUUCUUUGUCUUUCUCUUUUCUCUCUUUUUUUCUUUCUUUCCUUCUUCUUCCCUCCCACACCCCUGGUUUUCAAGACAUGGUUUCUCUAUGUAACCUUGGCUGCCCUGGAACUCACUCUGUAGACCCAGCUGGUCUCCAACUGUCAGCCCUGCCUCUACUUCCCAAGAGCUGGGAUUAAAGUCAUAUGCCACCACAUUUGGCAAAGUUACAUCUUUCUGAAGGUAUCAUGUAUUGUUUGUCAGGCAUUUACUGUUCAAUAUAUUCAUUUUUAGAAUUUUAAUAUGUAAUACUCCCUGUACAAAACUCAAGAUAUACAUACAAUAACUCCCUCAUUGAGUAUGAGGGAAGUCUCUCUCACUUCUCCAACAGUUCUUGUCCCCAAG
rnacentral:lncRNA from 1 species